UAUGUUCGAAGUAUGGGAGCUUAUGGGAUUGAGUUUAAGGAAGGACCUGACGGUUUUGGGGUCCACGCCUCGAAAGAUGUUGAACCUCUUCGCCGUGCCAGGGUUAUUAUGGAAAUAACUCUGGAAUUGAUGCUGACAAUAAGGCAGAAGCUGCCAUGGAUGUUCUUCCCGGAUAUAGUGCCUUUGGGUCAUCCCAUAUUUGAUAUCAUAAACACUUAAUUAUAUCAGACAAGUCUUCUGCAGUUAUUGUUCAAUUCGGUGAGUGCUCUAGCACACCGUUUAUUUACUGUAACUCAUGUGUAUUCUUUCUUGGCAGACAGAUUGGGAUCUGCGAUUGGCUUGCCUUCUCUUGUAUGCACUGGAUAGGGAUGAUAACUUUUGGCAACUAUAUGGAGACUUCUUACCUAGUGCAGAUGAGUGUACCAGCUUGCUUCUUGCUAAUGAGGAUGACCUCUCACAGCUGCAGGAUCCUAUCCUCAAAUGGCUAAGAAGAUGAGUCCGCAUUUAUCAGGUACCUACAAUCGACCAAGACACCGCAAUCGCUGGCCCGGAACCGAAUGAAACUCUUAUGAAAGUGAGGUCGGAUAUGGUUCUGCGACCGGACAAGAAGCAGCAGGGGAAGGUCAAUUUCGGGCAGAACUUGGUUUGCAAGGAAAGUCUCGCUGAAGGGAAGCCAAAGAUGGUUAAAGCGGGAGA